rnacentral:rRNA from 1 species
UACGGGGGGAGCAAGCGUUGUUCGGAUUUACUGGGCGUAAAGGGCGCGUAGGCGGCGUAACAAGUCACUUGUGAAAUCUCCGGGCUUAACCCGGAGCGGCCAAGUGAUACUGUUGUGCUAGAGUGCAGAAGGGGCAACUGGAAUUCUCGGUGUAGCGGUGAAAUGCGUAGAUAUCAGGAGGAACACCUGCGGUGUAGACGGCUUACUGGACCAUAACUGACGCUGAGGCACGAAAGCGUGGGUAGCAAACAGG